UCGACUUAAUAUGGAAAUAGUCAUUCUCAUUACAGACACUUGAUCUGCUCGACGAUUAUGCUCGAAAUGGUGGUCGUCAAUUCCAAACCCUAAUGCACCUCCUCGUUCGGAUGGGUUGUAUUUUCGUAGAACUCUAGCACCAGUGUCUUUUUGGAGUUUGGUGUAGUUUUUGUGGAGAACCUGGUGUUGUUUGGAAGCAAUAGCAUUAGCUCAAUCGUUACGGUGCGUGCUUAUCGAUUUCGCCAUCUCUUCUUCCUGUCGUUGGCUUGAUUGCGCACAUUUGACGCCGCACAAUCCAAACAUGUCUCGUUUUGCCGAGGUUAUGAAUAGGUGGUGCGAUGAUUUUUGAGUGCUGUUUCUUAAGGGCAGGGUGGCAUGGUGAUCGUGCCAGUUGAGUUCGUACUGGAUUAUAAACAAGCUCACGAUAUUUCCUAAGGAUUUUGGUGGAUGUAGUAAGUGGAUGGAUGCUGUUUUUGGAGCUGAUAUUUGGUUGCGGUGGCGCAUUUAAUGCGAGUUUUUAUGCCGUGGGCUCUUCGUUGAGCAACACCGCUUAGUACCAGCUUCCUCCCAGCAUUUGGUGCAUCCGUCAGCUGAUUCCCAUGCACUUGCUCCAGGUUUUCUUUCUCCAAAUUGUUCUCGUUUUGACAGUUUUUCUGUGUGAGUUGUACAUGAAUAUUUUGGCACUUGAAAUUUCUUCGUCGGUGACAGAUGUAUUUUAAUUUUAAACUCGCAUGCGAUCUAGCUUAAAUUAGCUCGAGGCGUUAUUGGAAGUUCGGGGUUCAAUCGCGAUUGAGAGGUUUUUGAUAUUUUGAUAGUGGACCGUGCGUCACGUUCAUAGCUCUCGUUCAUAGACAGUCACCCUUCAGAAUAUGCUGACUCAUGAUUUCCGUUCAGCCUCGAAAUCGCUCAAGCUAUGAAGGCGACAGAAGUCACAUUGGUCUGGCGCCGCUUCCAGUUAUCGCUCUGAUGAUUUGUGUGUUUCCAAGAUUAGCUGUUGGUCUUUCGAUCACCUCUUAAAGUAGGCUUGGUCCGUCCACACAUCUCGUAAUUCAAGGGUCAUGGCUCACGUCUCUUUGGCAGCGUCAAAGUGAGCAAGCAUGUUUGAGUAAAUGUGAAGGUCUAGUUUGCACCAGCGCGUUGCAAAUUCUGAGUUCGUAAUUUUAAGGAGCGAAAGCUCUACUUGUUUCAUGCAUCUACUUCAUGUAGCCAAGCCUAGAACGGUCUGUCUGUCACCGAAAAUGUCUUUGUUCAACGUAACACUCACUAUUCCCUUCAUCAGAACUUGGUUCCUUCGAGCGCUAAGAGAACGAGCACAACUGAAUAAUACUCGAUUGCAGCUUCGUGCUAAUUUGGGGUUAGCUAUAAAGUGUCAAACUAUGUAGCUGAUUGCUUCAUCCUUGAGAUCAUCACCAGGGCAUUCACAUUACACGCAAGUUUUUUGAUCGUGCAAGACCAAGCUUAUCUUGAAUCCUUCUUCAACGUAAAAUUUGAGUUGCUUUGUUUGAUAUUCACAUUUUGGAAAUGCGUAGAAGGAAAAUUGGAGUGAGCCUUUAUUCAAUUGCUGUGCAACUUAUGUAUAACUAGUUCCAGAAAGUCAUUGUUUCUGGGUUAAGCAGGCCGCUCUUGAUCUCCCUUAUGUGGAUUUUUCUUAAUCGUGAUAUUCGUACACGUGGGUAAUGGUUUGCAGAUGACUACCACCCAAAUUUUGCCGUGCAUCGGGUUGCUUGACGACUGUUAGAUCCUCGUCCCUCAGCUCGUAAAUCGCAAGCUUAUUCUAAAUUCUUUCGCUGAGAUAACGUCGAAGUUUGGCUCGAUAUGAUGAGCUCUUCAAUCUAUGAUAUAUCUGGAGACAGUGACUUUUUGAAUGCAUGGUUCGGCGAACGUGACCAGGCAUGAAGAACGUAUUCUCAGUACCAUGAGCUGGAUACGAGAAUCCACAUUAUUCCAAUCAUUAAUGAAAACAAGUCACUCCAGGGCAUUAUUUACAUGAGCUUACAGAUUCAAAGGAGCACUUAUUAUCAUCGUUAUUAUUAUUAUUACUAUUAUUCUUCCAGCUUCAGGAGACAAAGCAUCCAGAUUUUCAAGGAAGAAACAUACGGAAGCAUGAAACAUCCACAAGGCUUAGAAGACAUGGUGACCCUAUGUUACAAUGGCACAUUUUUUUUUUAAAGUGCCGAAAUUCUACACCUAU
rnacentral:lncRNA from 1 species